GAACCAACAGGGAUUGCCUCAGUAACGGCGAGUGAAGCGGCAACAGCUCAAAUUUGAAAUCUGGCCCCUUCGGGGUCCGAGUUGUAAUUUGUAGAAGAUGCUUCGGGUGCGGCCCCGGUCUAAGUUCCUUGGAACAGGACGUCACAGAGGGUGAGAAUCCCGUACGUGCCCGGUGGUCGCCCCCAUGUGAAGCUCUUUCGACGAGUCGAGUUGUUUGGGAAUGCAGCUCAAAAUGGGUGGUAAAUUUCAUCUAAAGCUAAAUAUUGGCCAGAGACCGAUAGCGCACAAGUAGAGUGAUCGAAAGAUGAAAAGCACUUUGGAAAGAGAGUUAAACAGUACGUGAAAUUGUUGAAAGGGAAGCGCUUGCAACCAGACUUGCGCGUGGCCGAUCAUCCGGUGUUCGCACCGGUGCACUCGACCGCGCGCAGGCCAGCAUCGGUUUGGGUGGCUGGAUAAAGGCCUCGGGAAUGUGGCUCCCCUCGGGGAGUGUUAUAGCCCGAGGUGCAAUGCAGCCUACCCGGACCGAGGACCGCGCUUCGGCUAGGAUGCUGGCGUAAUGGUUGUAAGCGACCCGUCUU
rnacentral:rRNA from 1 species